GAAGUUAUUAACUUGGAUUGAAUUAAGUUUAAUAUGGCAGUAAGUAAAUCAAUAUGAGAAGGUAGGUUUUGUAUAGGGUAUAAAAGGAAUUGUGAGAAGGUUAGUGUGAGUACUGUGAGGGAAAUUUGAAAUAGAUGAAAUAUAAAUUAGUUAAAAAGUAGGUUUGGUGCUGUACCUUUUGUAUCAGGGUUUAUUAAAUAAUGGGAAAGAUUUUAAAGUCUCGAUGCAAGGAGGGCUAUUCUAUUAAACUAUAUAAGGUGGUAAACUUAUUUGGAAUAGGAGAAUAGGAACGAAAAGUUAAUCGAUCUUUGUGGUUUCUAGUUUCCUAAGAAAUAAAUUUAAUUUAGGAAUGGUCAGAAUUUUGAAGAUUGGGUUUGGGAUUUAAGAUCAUUCUACUGGCUUGAGGGAUAAGCUUUGGGCUAGGAUUAAAACUUAAGAUUAUAGGAAAGUUUGUAGGCUUGAAAGUAGCCAUCGGAGAAGGAUGUUAUAAUUUAUUUUCUUUAGUAUGAAUUUUAUUAGGUUUAGUUAAGUAUUAGGAGACUGUUUUCAACUGGGGAAACGGGGCAUAAUGAUAAAAUAAGUACAAAAUGUUUGUAAAAUAAGUAAUUUUAGUAAGGAACUCGGCAAAUAAAGCGCUCGCCUGUUUAUCAAAAACAUCGCCUUUUGGAGAAAUAGAAGGUCUGACCUGCCCACUGAAGAAAGUUAAAGGGCCGCGGUAUUUUGACCGUGCAAAGGUAGCAUAAUCAUUAGUCUUCUAAUUAAAGGCUGGAAUGAAUGGUUGGACGAGGUGCUAGCUGUCUCACUAAAAUGAUUUUGAAUUUAGCUUUUUAGUCAAAAGGCUGAAAUGAAGUUGGAGGACGAGAAGACCCUAUAGAGCUUUACAUUAAACUUUUUUAAUUUGUUUUGUAAGACCUUAAUUUUAAAAGGUAAAUGUUUCGUUGGGGUGACGGGAAGAUAAGAAUAACUCUUUUUAAAAUUUUACAUUGAUGAGUGAAUAGUUGAUCCAUUUAUAAUGAUUAAAAGGCUAAGUUACCUUAGGGAUAACAGCGUAAUCUUUUUUGAGAGUUCUAAUCGACGAAAAGGGUUGCGACCUCGAUGUUGGACUAAGGGCUAUUUUUGGGUGUAGCAGCUCAAAGUUUAGGUCUGUUCGACCUUUGAAUCCUUACAUGAUCUGAGUUCAGACCGGCGUAAGCCAGGUCGGUUUCUAUCCUCAAUUAGCUGAAAUAUUUUAGUACGAAAGGACCAAAUAUUUAAGAUAUUCUUAAGUAGUGAAUAAUAUUAACUA
rnacentral:rRNA from 1 species